UGCUCUGGAAAGCAUCCUGGGGGCUGAACCUUAUGUGAGGCAUGGGAACCCUGGCGGCAAGUUUUUCCCUGUACUGUAGGCUGGCUUUUAGGAAUGAGGCUCCUGGAGAGGAACUUGAUUAGCCUCAUUGCUCCUCUUGCCACACUUGGAGUGGCCAGAUCCUAUUCUUUCGCAGCACAGGGAAACCAGUGCAAAAACUAAUCAGGGGAAAGAAAAAGACUCACAACACCACUAGAAAAGGAGGAAAACUUCUUUUCCAGACUGUGAGCUCCACAGCAGGUAGCCCUGGGCCCUGUGGUCUGCACUUCACCAGCACCUAAUCCAUGCCUCAUAUUUAGCACAAAAUAUCCCAGAAGGAAUCAUUUAUUGUGUAGUUACUGCGUACAGGUAUGUAUCUCUGGAUGCAGAUGUAUUAGAAAAGCAGCAACCACAGGAACUCUAUCCAACGCACUGACGGCAGGGGCAGCCUCUGCGAGAGGAUGGACUUGGAACUUCAUCUGACCUUUGUAUUUUUAACAACCAAAAUUUAUUAAUUCAGUACUUGUGUUCCUAAAAGUAAGCAAAAUGAAAAAAGAAGGAAUAACAAAUUUCUAAUCACCAAGAUAAUUCAGACGAAAUAAGCAGAUAGAUAGGUCAAUGUUUUAUAGUUUAUGAAAGCACGGUGGAAAUGCAUAAAAUCUGAGUACUGUGGAAAGGAUAAUGUUGGGGCAUUUUUCAAAUGCGUCUUCUUGUUUGAAUGUACUCUGAAAGGUGGUAUAAGUUAGCAGAAGUCACCUUAACAUGCAGCAAAUGCCAAAGCAGAGGCAUUUGAAGAAGUCACUUAUUUUAAAAACAAAUCUUAAAGGUGCACGUUUAAACACAGAACUUAAUAUAGAUGUGUAUUUACAUUGAAAAAUAAUUUUCAUUUUUGAAAUAUAUUUCUUUUUUGGAAUUUAAUAAACAGGUGAAAGAGUUUUAGACUGUAAGAGGA
rnacentral:lncRNA from 13 species